AGCAGGGAAGAAGCGGAAGUGACCGUACCUGCAGAAGAAGCGCCGGCUAACUACGUGCCAGCAGCCGCGGUAAUACGUAGGGCGCAAGCGUUGUCCGGAAUUAUUGGGCGUAAAGAGCUCGUAGGCGGCUUGUCGCGUCUGCUGUGAAAGCCCGGGGCUUAACUCCGGGUGUGCAGUGGGUACGGGCAGGCUAGAGUGCAGUAGGGGUAACUGGAAUUCCUGGUGUAGCGGUGAAAUGCGCAGAUAUCAGGAGGAACACCGAUGGCGAAGGCAGGUUACUGGGCUGUUACUGACGCUGAGGAGCGAAAGCAUGGGGAGCGAACAGGAUUAGAUACCCUGGUAGUCCAUGCCGUAAACGUUGGGCACUAGGUGUGGGGGACAUUCCACGUUUUCCGCGCCGUAGCUAACGCAUUAAGUGCCCCGCCUGGGGAGUACGGCCGCAAGGCUAAAACUCAAAGGAAUUGACGGGGGCCCGCACAAGCGGCGGAGCAUGCGGAUUAAUUCGAUGCAACGCGAAGAACCUUACCAAGGCUUGACAUACACUGGAUCGUUCCAGAGAUGGUUCUUCCCUUUUGGGCUGGUGUACAGGUGGUGCAUGGUUGUCGUCAGCUCGUGUCGUGAGAUGUUGGGUUAAGUCCCGCAACGAGCGCAACCCUCGUUCUAUGUUGCCAGCACGUGAUGGUGGGGACUCAUAGGAGACUGCCGGGGUCAACUCGGAGGAAGGUGGGGAUGACGUCAAAUCAUCAUGCCCCUUAUGUCUUGGGCUUCACGCAUGCUACAAUGGCCGGUACAAUGGGUUGCGAUACUGUGAGGUGGAGCUAAUCCCAAAAAGCCGGUCUCAGUUCGGAUUGGGGUCUGCAACUCGACCCCAUGAAGUCGGAGUCGCUAGUAAUCGCAGAUCAGCAACGCUGCGGUGAAUACGUUCCCGGGCCUUGUACACACCGCCCGUCAAGUCACGAAAGUUGGUAACACCCGAAGCCGAUGGCCUAA
rnacentral:rRNA from 1 species